GACAGAGGUCCCGAGCGUUUAGGCGGAAUCACUGGGCUUAAAGCGUGUGUAGGCGGAUUUGUAAGUACCUUGUGAAAUCCCACAGCUUAACUGUGGAACUGCUUGGUAUACUGCUUAUCUUGGGCCACUUAGGGGUUACCGGAACAAACGGUGGAGCGGUGAAAUGCGUAGAUAUCGUUUGGAACGCCAAUGGUGAAAACAGGUAACUGGGAGUGUGCCGACGCUGAGAUACGAAAGCCAGGGGAGCGAACGGGG
rnacentral:rRNA from 1 species